rnacentral:ncRNA from 1 species
UAUUUAUAGGAAAAAACUGCUGCAGGAAGCAACGUUUUUUGACAAACUGACAUUUGUGCACCUUUUGAUUCUUUAUUUCAUUUAAUUCUGAAAAAAAAAAUUUUUUUUUGACUCAUUAUUUCACUUUUCAUCUCCCUCGUUAUCGCGGUUUCGAGAUGUCCGGUUUCGAGAUGUCGCGGAGCUGGGUAGAAAAGGCCAAUAUUGAAACAUGGAUUACGGUAGAUCCAACGACUCUUGACAAUCGUUAUCAUUCAGCGGAUUCGCGUCAUUUCCAACUCACCAGUUUUUACAAAAACAAGAAAGAAUACAAAGUCGAUCCGUUCUUCUAGUACCGAAGGUACUGAGGAUCACGGUUUUCUGCGUACGCGGACGACUGUUGGUGUACCGUUCAGAGCCAGGCAUUAUUUAAGUCAAUUCCUGGUUAGGGAAAUGACCGAGCAAUCUUCGUAGGUUUCUCUACUACCCAGCAAACUGGGAGCAUUCGCAUCAUUACGCGAGAGGUGAAAUUCGUGGACCGUAGUGAAACGCCCAACAGCGAAAGCAUUUACCAAGAAUUUCUUCAUUAAUCAAGAACAAAAAUCAGAGGUUCGGAGGCGAUUAGAUACCACCCUAGUUCUGACCGUAAACGAUGCCAUCUCGCGAUUCUGAGAGUCUUUCGGUUAUGGGGGAAGUAUGGUUUCCAAGCUGAAGCUUAAAGAAAUUGGGGCACCACACGGUUUGGGCUUGCAAAACCCACCUGGUUCAAUU